UGGGGGAUAUUGCACAAUGGGCGAAAGCCUGAUGCAGCGACGCCGCGUGGGGGAUGAAGGCCUUCGGGUUGUAAACUUCUUUUGCUCUGAACAAGGCAUGCUUUUGGGGUGUGUUGAGUGUAGGGGUUGAUUAGCGCCGGCUAACUACGUGCCAGCAGCCGCGGUAAUACGUAGGGCGCGAGCGUUGUCCGGAAUUAUUGGGCGUAAAGGGCUUGUAGGUGGCUGGUUGCGUCUGUCGUGAAAGCUCAUGGCUUAACUGUGGGUUUGCGGUGGGUACGGGCUGGCUUGAGUGCAGUAGGGGAGGCUGGAAUUCCUGGUGUAGCGGUGGAAUGCGCCGAUAUCAGGAGGAAUACCGGUGGCGAAGGCGGGUCUCUGGGCUGUUACUGACGCUGAGGAGCGAAAGCGUGGGGAGCGAACAGG
rnacentral:rRNA from 1 species